AGGGGCCAGUGCUUGGUGCGAGUGCCUUUUCUCCGAUGGCACCUCCCCUGUCCUGCCCGGCCGUUCUCUCUCUCGUACGCUUCAGCCUUCGCCCUUCGGUUCAAGCCGUCCGUCCACAACUCCCCAUCGCCGUCGCCGAUGCCGAUUUCCUGUGCGCCUCCCAUGGUUCCCGCUAAACUAACGGUGCCUUCGCUUGCGCUUGCGGGAGCGCUGAGACGAUGUCUUGGCUUUGUCUCCACCCUCGUUGUCAGUUUACCAGGGUCCCCAGCGGCGUCGGUUAGUUGUAUGGUAGUAGAAGUAACAGC
rnacentral:lncRNA from 1 species